ACGGCUCAGUAACACGUGGUCAAUCUACCCUUGGGGCGGGGAUAACCCCGGGAAACUGGGGAUAAUCCCCGAUAGGCGGGGGUUCUGGAAUGGUCCCUCGCCGAAAUGUUCAGGCACCCAAGGACGAGACUGCGGCUUAUUAGGUAGUUGGUGGGGUAAUGGCCCACCAAGCCGAAGAUGGAUACGGGCCCUGAGAGGGGAAGCCCGGAGAUGGGGACUGAGACAAGGCCCCAGGCCCCACGGGGCGCAGCAGGUGCGAAAAUUCCGCAAUGCGUGCGAGCGCGACGGAGUGACUCCCAGUGCCGAUGGUCUAACGACCGUCGGCUUUUCUGGAAUGUAAAAAGUUCCAGGUAAUAAGGGCCGGGUAAGACUGGUGCCAGCCGCCGCGGUAACACCAGCGGCUCAAGUGGUAGCCGAUUUUAUUGGGCCUAAAGCGUCCGUAGCCGGACUGUCAAGUCCCUUGUGAAAUCGGGCGGCUUAACCGUUCGGCGUGCAGGGGAAACUGUCAGUCUUGGGGCCAGC
rnacentral:rRNA from 1 species